rnacentral:rRNA from 1 species
CAAAGUUGUUACGGCGAUUUUGGGGUUGUAGGACCACGAUAUAGAGCGUAAGAUUUUAGCAGAACACAGCUGGAAAGCUGGGCCAAAGAAGGUGAGAGCCCUGUAGGCGAAAAUAUCUUAUAAUUUUAGUGGUAUCCUGAGUAGGGCGGGACCGGAGAAAUCCUGUCUGAAUCAGCCAGCACCAUCUGGCAAGGCUAAAUACUCCUGAGAGACCGAUAGUGGACGAGUACCGUGAGGGAAAGGUGAAAAGUACUCCGAACAGGAGGGUGAAAUAGAACCUGAAACCGUGCGCUUACAAGCGGUCGGAGUCCGCCUUUGGCGGAUGACGGCGUGCCUUUUGCAUAAUGAGCCUACGAGUUACUCCUCUCUGGCAAGGUUAAGCAUGAAAACGUGUGAAGCCGAAGCGAAAGCGAGUCUGAACAGGGCGCAUAAGUCAGGGGGGGUAGACGCGAAACUUGGUGAUCUACCCAUGGUCAGGUUGAAGCUUUGGUAACACAAAGUGGAGGACCGAACCAGUUGACGUUGAAAAGUCUUUGGAUGAACUGUGGGUAGGGGUGAAAGGCCAAUCAAACUGAGAGAUAGCUCGUACUCCCCGAAAUGCUUUUAGGAGCAGCGUUGGACUAAGUAUCAUAGAGGUAGAGCUACUGAUUGGGCUAGGGGGCUUCACCGCCUACCAAACCCUGACAAACUCCGAAUGCUAAGAUAUGAUAUCCAGCAGUGAGGGCGCGGGUGCUAAGGUCCGUGUCCGAGAGGGAAAGAACCCAGACCAUCAGCUAAGGUCCCCAAAUAUAUGCUAAGUUGAACUAACGAAGUCAGACUGCAGAGACAGCUAGGAUGUUGGCUUGGAAGCAGCCAUUCAUUUAAAGAGUGAGUAACAGCUCACUAGUCGAGCGGUUUGGCAUGGAUGAUAAUCGGGCAUAAGCAUAUUACCGAAGCUAUGGAAUUAGAUUUAUCUAAUUGGUAGGGGAGCAUUCCAGUGACGUUGAAGGUGAACUGUAAGGUUUGCUGGAGAUACUGGAAAAGCAAAUGUAGGCAUAAGUAACGAUAAUGCGGGUGAGAAACCUGCACACCGGAAGACUAAGGUUUCCUGAUCAACGCUAAUCGGAUCAGGGUUAGUCGGGACCUAAGGCGAACCCGAAGGGGGAAGUCGAUGGACAAUCGGUCAACAUUCCGAUACCAGCUUAUACUGCGAUGGGGUGACGGAGUAAUGAAAGGUCCGCGUACUGACGGAAUAGUACGUUGAACACUGUAGGUAUAUCUUUGGUAGGCAAAUCCGCCAAAGAUGCUAAAGGUUGACAGUACCACGAGUCUUCGGAUGAGUGGACAGUGGCCCUAAGCGGUUCCAAGAAAAACCUCUAAGCGUCAGGUAUAAGGUGCACGUACCGCAAACCGACACAGGUAGUCGAGGAGAGAAUCCAAAGGUGCUCGAGUGAUUCAUGGCUAAGGAACUAGGCAAAAUAGCCCCGUAACUUCGGGAGAAGGGGCGCCUCACUCAGGUGAGGCCGCAGAGAAAUGGCCCAGGCGACUGUUUAUCAAAAACACAUGGCUUUGCAAAAUUGAAAGAUGAAGUAUAAGGCCUGACACCUGCCCGGUGCCGGAAGGUUAAGAGGAGGGGUUAUCUUAAUUUAUUAGGAGAAGCUCUGAAUUGAAGCCCCGGUAAACGGCGGCCGUAACUAUAACGGUCCUAAGGUAGCGAAAUUCCUUGUCGGGUAAGUUCCGACCUGCACGAAUGGUGUAACGAUCUGGGCACUGUCUCAGCCAUGAGCUCGGUGAAAUUGUAGUCACGGUGAAGAUGCCGUGUACCCGUCACGGGACGGAAAGACCCCAUGCACCUUUACUAUAGCUUCGCAUUGACAUUGGGUAGAUGAUGUGUAGGAUAGGUGGGAGGCGAUGAUCCUGUGCCGCUAGGUAUAG